GUGUGGUUGGUUUAGUGGCUAAACUAUCAUUCCGUGGUCUGUGGCAGUCCCGCGUUCGAUUCCCGGACCAAGCA